UUCAAAUUAAAACUGCUGAGAAACAAAACCCCACACAUGUGAACUAACUAAGCCAUUCUUUAAAAAGUGACUUUAAUAGGACCAGUGUAACUGGUGACAUUGUUUGUUAAAAAAAAGCCAAAACAUCUGUAAGUCUUUGUUAGCUGGAAAUUUAUUUUGGACUAUCAUACGAGAAUGUUAUUAAUUUAAGAUUCCAAUUAUUAUUUGUGUUUCAGUAACAAUCUGCUCUCUGGAAAUUGCUGCAAUGCUUGUCAAAAGUCACUGUUUUAUCCCGUAAUUUUCUACAAGGAGGCCAAAGAUCUCUUGAGCUUUGUUUCCUGAAAGACUUCACUUGGGUGUUUCUAAGACAACUUGAUGUUCCUCAGCUGGGCAGAAGGCAUUCAAGCAGGUACUAAGUGUAAUAAGUCUGGAUAAGAGACCAGUCAUGUUUUUAAUUGCCUUAUUCCUCUUCUAGUUUUAGGAAGUGGAUAGUGUAUCGUGAUUACUCUGCUGUUCAUACUUUCAGGUACAGAACAGGAAGGUAGCUGGGAU
rnacentral:lncRNA from 1 species